CCCCACUGCUAUCGGGGUGGGACUUAGGCAUGUUAGUUUGUGUCUUCAAGCUAUGGUGAGGACACGGCGGACGGCUCAGUAACACGUAGCUAACCUGCCCUCGGGACGGAGAUAACCCCGGGAAACUGGGGCUAAUACUCGAUAGGUGAGGAGGCCUGGAAUGGUUUCUCGCCUAAAGGAUGUGGAGCCAUGCUUCCAAUAUCGCCCGAGGAUGGGGCUGCGGCCGAUCAGGUAGUUGGUGAGGUAACGGCUCACCAAGCCUUUAACCGGUACGGGCCGUGAGAGCGGGAGCCCGGAGAUGGGCACUGAGACAAGGACCUAGGCCCUACGGGGCGCAGCAGUCGCGAAAACUCCGCAAUGCGCGCAAGCGCGACGGGGCUAACCCGAGUGCCGUCCGCUGAGGAUGGCUUUUCUCUGGUGUAAUGAGCCGGAGGAAUAAGGGGAGGGCAAGACUGGUGUCAGCCGCCGCGGUAAUACCAGCUCCCCGAGUGGUGGGGAUGUUUAUUUGGCCUAAAGCGUCCGUAGCCUGCUCAGUAAGUCCUCCGUUAAAUCCGACGAUCUAAUCGUUGGGCUGCGGGGGAUACUGCAGGGCUAGGGGGCGGGAGAAGUCGACUGUACUCUUGGGGUAGGGGUGAAAUCCUAUAAUCCCAGGAGGACAACCAGUGGCGAAGGCGGUCGGCUAGAACGCGCCCGACGGUGAGGGACGAAAGCGUGGGGAGCGAUCCGGAUUAGAUACCCGGGUAGUCCACGCUGUAAACGAUGCAGGCUAGGUGUUGGCGUGACUACGAGUCACGCUAGUGCCGCAGGGAAGCCGUUAAGCCUGCCGCCUGGGAAGUACGGUCGCAAGACUGAAACUUAAAGGAAUUGGCGGGGGAGCACCACAAGGGGUGAAGCUUGCGGUUC
rnacentral:rRNA from 1 species